GCAUCCAGGGGCGACUCUUCUUGCAAAAGUGGUCUUGCUAGCCUGUGAAAGCCAGGAAGUGUCUGGACGUGCCAUCUACUAUUUUCUGAUAGCACCUCUCGCAAACCACGGGCAUUGACAAAAUCCCCAUCGGUCAAUUGCAAGAGGCAGUUUCACUGGGAACAACUUACAUCCUGCGAUGAGACCUUUCACAUCAUUAAACAACAGCAUCUGCCUAUCCCAGCUCUUUGGGAAGGACUCGGUAGACGAAUAAAAGGGUCAAAUUCGGCCUAAACAUC